GUUGAGCGUGUUGCGGAUUCGCAUCAUUCACGUUUCUUGCUCAGUUCGGUGAUUCUCUCCACAGAGUCACAGUUCUUUUUUUCCAUUGAAGUUCGAUGAUGUCACAGACCUUAGAACUCCCUUGAUGUUCAUGUUGAUAUGACAUCAGAUUCUACAGAUUCUGGCAGGCUUCCAAAAGGCUGGCCAAUCAGAAGAAAGUGGGCCUUAAAGAGACAGAAGCUACAUCGAUGAUUCUUGCAUUUUGCAGCUGAGUUCAUGAUUCGUUGAAAAAUGAUUCUCCGGUGACGAUACCGUACUCUUGUUUGCGUGUCGCAACCCGAUCCAUCACGGAAACCUGAUUUGUACUGUGCAUGUGUGAAAUGUACGUCACUUCCUCUCCUGGCAUUUCAAUGUAUUUUAGGACAGUGAGUCGCUUCCUACCUGAUCCAUACUGCACAAGUGCAAAUUAACUUCACCUUAAAAACUUUAUUUAAACUACUGAUCGUUUCAGAAACAAGCUAACGAUGUAACAGGCUAGCUACGAGAGGCUCCAGAGCUAAUGCCGAGGCAUUCGCCAGAGCUCCUGCCCAGCACGGUGAGACCUUUUGGGCCACAGAGAGCGCCACCAACCGGACCAAUUCAUGGUUCUCUGACUUUUCAAAGUAUCGAGGGGAGGUUUAUUUAAUUUAUUCUAUAAUUAAAUUUAUUAAUAAGAAGCCUGCACAUUACGGACAAUGAAUUUCAACGUUUUAUCUUGCGUUUCAAUUUCAACACUGAAAUAUUCACGUUCAUUCAAGCCUUUUAUAACUACGUUGCAAUUUUACAAUUUAGCUGGAGUAGGAACCUUUAAUUGUAAAACAGGGCGCCAUUCUCUUGACUCUCUGGCUCUCUGCUUCAGUCGGGGGAAGCACGCCGUUCAGGAGAAAAGAAAAGCGUGUGGCUGUUAUAAACUGAAGCAUCUGACUAUAGCGAGCUCGCUGAUGCUGAUGCUUUCGCCUAUGGGCAGUAAAAUUUGGGUUUCUGGGACUGAUCAGAGAGCGACAUUGCUGCUAGCCCCGCCCCUUAAGUUCAUAACUAGCUUACUCAUGCAAUUGUUUUGCAUGAUCUCCUUUGUCAGGAACAGCGGAACCAGAUAAGCACAAGAUACUCUGCUAUGUUGAACACACUUUGUAGUCCAGACCUCAGGUAGGUUGUUGGUUUAUCACCACACUGGAGGUAAGGAAGUAUUCAGCAGCACUGAGCGUUGGUAGCUUUUGAAGUGCAGAGAAAAGAAAUGGACAAUUAGCCGGCUGCUAACCUGAAAUGCUAAAUGUGCUAACUUAACAAGCUCAAUGACCCGGAUAAUGCAAACCACUGCACACAUGAGCGCAGCUGCAGCUGAAAGCUUCCUCUGUUUCUGCUCGAUUGCUCAUCCUGUCUUGUAAAUCCUUAGGGGGCAGGGUGAGCUAAUGAUCUAAACAGUAGUCAAAGUAGUCCUACAACCGUGACACUGUUCAAUAUCUAUUUUCAGCUCAGUGUUAGUCUUUGAAAAGUUCUUAGAUAUAACCUGGCUGUCAAAGUCACGCACUGCAAAUAUGACAGUUGUGUUUUUGCCCAUCGUCCUUCCCUCUGCAGUCUGUGAUUGAGCAGCUGCACGGAGCAGAAGUAGAAAUGGAGUCACUUUCGAGAGCUAAACUGAUUUGUAGGUUACAAAAAUCUGCACGUACCGUCCAAGUAGCACACAUCCUGUUGUUCACGAGAGGAAGGAAGCCGCCGUAUCCUCUCAAAUGGGAAAUGCAGAGGACGCAGAUGAACUGAUAGAAAAAACAGGUAGUGUGAACAAACAUUAGACAGUGCAGUUGAGGAUAUGGAGGCAGAGUACAGACGCUGACAAGAGGUGGAAAGAUACUUAAAGGUCUAUGCAGCCAAGAUACGAAAACAUGUCAAUAGUUCUGAGUCUGAAUCUUAUUCAGGGUUGUUUUACUUUGCAGUUCAUGUUACAACUUCUCUUUCCAUAUUCCUGUAUUUUAGUUCUGCCUGCUUCUUUUCAGAGUCAGAGAGAUGAAUAUGAAUGACACAUUAUAUUUGUGAGUAGACUGACAAAACGGAGUGUGCACAGAAUAUUAUACUGAGCAGGUAUGAAUCUUUGUAGCUUUUUUAUCUUCACAAAGACGUGAAUUUUUCAAAUGAUAAAAAAUUGGCACCAGGGUAGUAAUCGCACAGAGCGUGCAAUCUGGAGAAAAGAAAUCUGAAGAACUGUUGAAGAAUCUUUAAAAAGAAAUACUGAUGUGCUGUUUGAAGCAGGUAACCUCCAGUGGGGAAAAGGGAAGCAACUCUGAAGUGUGGAAAAACCGCAGUUCCUCCAGUGUCCACUUGAGGCUUGCUCCAAAAGCUAACCCUGAUUUCCACCGCACCCGGAAUGGCUACGAAAAAGCCGUUUACACCGAUCGUAGCUGAUCAUAACCAUUCGAGUUGAUGUGUCAAUUUCCACCAGCUUCUUUCCCUUCCGCUGCAGAUCGCCAGACUUUGCAACUGAGCUCAAGAGUUCUAUUUUUUCUGGACGCCGGAGCAUGCCGGAUAAAUUCAGCACAGAUUAACCCGUGCUGGAAAGGAAGUCGGGCACAGACACAAAAUAAAACAUCCGUUUUUGAGGAGAUGCUGAGUCUAGAAGUCUAGAAGUAGAUUUCCUCCUCUGGAAUGACACAAUCUACUGCUUAUAUGGUUAGCCUCUGUGGCUAAAGACAACUUGUUAUAGCGCGAUUGCACGUAGAUUUGUGGGUUCUUGUGAGUUCUCUUGAUUCCUGCUGUCCGUAAUCCACCAUCAAAUCCACCUCACAAACGGAUCUGUUCGGAAUUGGCGUACGGUGAAAAUUGCCGUUCUGGAUCAGAGCCAUUCCAGAUGCGAUGAAAAUCCCGGCAAAGGGAUCUCCAUUAGCACCCAUGUUAAAAUGCAGCUUGGUACAACAAACAGGUCUAGGUAUGCCGCUCAUUGAAUUGUUUUCUUUGCCCAUGUCUACGUUGAUCCAACUUGAGGUUGAGUUCGGGCUGGACGAUAAGACUAUCAAAGUAACUUUCACAAACUCUUAGUCAAUAUUCCAACAACAAAAGAAUGAUUUUAUUUUGGAAAGUUUGUCAGGAAGUUGUUUUAUAUAUCAUCGAGAUAUCUGAGCUUUGGCACUUUGUGUGAUGGUGGUGAAUGCUGAACAGGGUUCUCUUCAGGUCAAAGAUCCAUAUGAGUUCCCAUAGAGAGACCUUCCAGUCCACAGAGACCCUCUAUUCUGACUGUUGGGUUUUAUUUGAACCUUUGUUUACUCAGGGAAGUUUGGCCUAGCUUUGCUGUUCCCUUUUAAAGCCCAUUCAUUCAUGCCGGGCGGCCACACCACGGUGCUCCACUCAGCGAUACUGAACAGGAUCCACUUCAUUGUCCCCAUUCAACUCCAAGUCCGGCAUGCUUGAGGAGUGUACAUCAUGGGAGUUUUUUUCCUGCCCUCGUCCUCCCACUCAGUCCAGCCCCAGCAGCUGUGAAUGUGAUGAUAGGAGCGAAUGACCCCAGAGGACCCCACAAGGCCCACCCCCAUCCAGAUCCCAACCCCGGCUGCCUGUCCCAUAAUGCGAACAAACAGGAACGUGACCCUUUCCUUCCUUCCUUCCCACUGUAACGCAGACUUGGAAUCCAGCCCCCCCUUUUCCUCCCCACUCCGAGGGGAAUCCUCCACCCGAACAGCGGCAUUCCACAUCCUGUCUGAGUGACUCAUUCAGGGGGAAAAGAUGGCUUGUGGAAAAGCUAACCAUGAGACACAGCUAGACGACAGACACCAUCCAGAAGCGAAAAAAUGAUUCACGAGAAGAAAACCUAAAGUUCCACUCUGUAACCGAAGUUUCAAUUAAUGCAUCUCAACGUUUUAAGUGUCCUUUUGGCCUCACAGGACUUAAGGGGGGCAGAGUGAGCCAAAAGAAGCCUCUCUGGAUCCAAGAGGGCUUAAUUAUUCAUGCAAAAUUUGGCAAGCAUCAUGGCCAAACUGAAGUUUUUGGAAUUCCCCAAAAAUGUAAAAAGACAAGGAAGCUGCCUUUACUCAAACUCUGAAUAAAUCACAUUAUCAUCUCAUGAUAGCUUUUUAUAAUUGGAGUCUCUGCAGCAAAGUGUUUUACAUCGAAGUCUUCUGAAAAGGCACAAGGAUACAGGGUUAGUGGUAUGGGGGGUUGGGUUGUUGGGGGGUUAUGAUGCCUCUUUCUAAAGCUGAAGCAAUUUGCGUUUGUGGUUUGGAGGAAGAAGACUAAUAGCUGGCCGACUGCUCUCUCUGUGAGCUUGUUUGCACCACAGCUUGAUUCACAGUUUUUUUUUUCUGAGUAAGAAAACACCCCGUGGGCCUUCGCAGAAAAAAUUAAUGUGAAAAAAUAAAAAAUGCAAAUUCCACCCACCAAAGACAUUUGAGCGUCCGUCAGAGAACCUUCUCAGUUGUUUCUCAACAUACGUCUUCAUGUUAGCGUUCCUCCGAUAAUUAGAACCUGGAACAACCACGUUUAUUUUUUUUGUCAAGUCAUUGCGUAUCUGUCAGUGUAAACACAACACACAGCUCUACCAGAACAAAAAGGAAUAAAACCCAAACUCUGCUGGCUCAUAAGAUGCUGAAUUGACUCUCUUGUACCAGGUCCAACAAGGCUGGGAUUUUGGCUCGACAGACUGCCUUCACUCCAGACUUCUUAAAAACCGUUGGGCUUGUUGCUUUAACCCUCGGUUCCUGUUCACUUGAAGCGCCAUCCAUCCUGUCCCCAAAACAGACAUGCAGAUCAGUGUUCAUAGAAUAAUCAUUUUUAAACAUUUUUUUCUUACUUUUUUGGCUUAAAUCUCUUAAACUUCAUCCCUAACCCUAAAAAAAGUAGUGAAUAAAAAAUUUGACGUAUUACCCUUUUAAUGCCAGUUUUUGUGCGCCAUGUCACGGUCAAGAACCUUGUUUUUAAUGGAAGUCUAUUGUCCAAUUUGCAGACAAAGUAGGGUGGAUGGAGCUAAAAUGUGGCGACAGAGAACUAAAGAUGAAACAGAGUUUUUUUUUUUAAUUUAAAGAUGAAAAAAAAAAAGACAAAUGUCCUUAAAACAGACAUAGUGGAACCGAGGGUUAAGAUAUCCCUCCUGUCUUACUUCCUGAUGCUUUUCAGCUGCAAUAAACAAGAUAACUUCUCCUCUGGGUGGCCUGAGAUUACUAUAUCUGUGAGUAAAGUUUUACUAAUUUUAAUUUAUCGUUGCUAUUUUUAUUUAGAUGAGCCUGAAGCCGACUGAGGCAAACUUUGGUGGUAUCAGGAUUAGAGCUCGCAGUGCAACUCUGAGCAGCAGAGAGUGGAGAUGCUGAUUGUUACCCCCAGUUUCCACCGCAAC